GAUGAACGCUGGCGGCGUGCCUAAUACAUGUAAGUCGAACGAAAUUUCUUUAUCACCGAGUGUUUGUAGUCACCGACAAAGAGUUGAGUGGCGAACGGGUGAGUAACACGUGGGCAACCUGCUCAAAAGAGGGGGAUAAUACUUGGAAACAGGUGCUAUUACUGCAUAACAAUAGUUACCGCAUGGUAACUAUGUAAAAGGUGGCUAUACUACCGCUUUUGGAUGGGCCCGCGGCGCAUUUGCUAGUUGGUAGGGUAAAGGCUUACCAAGGCAAUGAUGCUUAGCCGAAUGAUGAGGUUGAUCGGCCACAUUGGGACUGAGACACGGCCCAAACGCCUGCGGGAGUCAGCAGUAGGGAAUCUUCCUCAAUAGGCGAAAGCCUGAUGGAGCAACGCCGCGUGGAUGAAGAAGGUCUUCGGAUCGUAAAACCCUGUUGUUAGAGAAGAAAGUGCGUGAGAGUAACUGUUCACGUUUCGACGGUAUCUAACCAGAAAGCCACGGCUAACUACGUG
rnacentral:rRNA from 1 species